rnacentral:rRNA from 1 species
UAUCCUGGCUCAGGACGAACGCUGGCGGCGCGCCUAACACAUGCAAGUCGAACGAGUGAGAGAGAGCUUGCUUUCUCGAGCGAGUGGCGAACGGGUGAGUAACGCGUGAGGAACCUGCCUCAAAGAGGGGGACAACAGUUGGAAACGACUGCUAAUACCGCAUAAGCCCACAGGUCGGCAUCGACCAGAGGGAAAAGGAGCAAUCCGCUUUGAGAUGGCCUCGCGUCCGAUUAG